GUUCUACACUCUACUUAAUAAUUGAUGUCGUCUUCCAAAUACAGUCAGCUGUAAGCCAAGCAUGGUUUAAUACUGAAACUAUUACAGAGGCUGAACUAUUGGCCUGGACUGCCUGGAACCAUGAAGGAAACCUAGAAACCUGUUUACACUUCUUCACAUUUAUCCAACAAAUCAUCAGUCCUCUUCUCUUCGUAUACGCCGAGUUCUGCGUGAAAUAAUACAUGCUUCUUAUAAACUUAGUUCUGCGUGAAAUAAUACAUGCUUUUUUUUAUAAACUUGUUCAGCGUGAAUAAAUUAGUAAUAUGAUUUUUUAAAAUAAAUCAGCAACUAAU